rnacentral:rRNA from 3 species
UACGGGGGGGGCAAGCGUUGUUCGGAAUUACUGGGCGUAAAGGGCGUGUAGGCGGCCUAGCAAGUCAGCUGUGAAAGCCCCAGGCUCAACCUGGGAAUUGCAUCUGAAACUGCCGGGCUAGAGUUCAGGAGAGGAGGGCGGAACUCCCAGUGUAGCGGUGAAAUGCGUAGAUAUUGGGAGGAACACCGGUGGCGAAGGCGGCUCUCUGGACUGAAACUGACGCUGAGGCGCGAAAGCCAGGGGAGCGAACGGG